rnacentral:RNase_P_RNA from 1 species
UGGCGGCUUGUCGCUCGUUAAUUUCUCAUGGUUGCGAGAGGAAAGUCCGGGCAACGCAGAGCAUCACAUUUCUUAACGGGAAGCUGCGGGUGACCGCAGGGUUAAGGUGACAGAAAACAACCGCCGCGUUAGCGGUAAGGGUGAAAAGGCGGGGUAAGAGCCCACCGGGCACUGUGGUGACACAGUGUGCCGCACCACCUGUGAGUUGCAAGUUCAUGUAUACCGGCAUCUAAGGGCUGCUCGUCCAUUGCCGGGGGGUAGAACGCUAUAUCGGCGCAGCAAUGCGUCGGACAGAUAAAUGACAAGCACCUGCCAUCCUGUGGCAGGCACAAAACCCGGCUUACAGCCAUACUG